rfam:Salmo salar isolate Sally breed double haploid chromosome ssa09, whole genome shotgun sequence.
UCCAUUCACUACUGUAAGUCGCUCUGGAUAAGAGUGUCUACUAAAUGACUAAAA